CCCUACCUUCUGAGCAAGACUGUUAAACACGUUACCACCCAAAUUUGCAGAUAAUUUGUUAUCUCUUCAUUAGGCCUCUUUAGUUUAUUCAGUCAAACAGAUAUUUGACCUGUAUAACAUUCUUUGUAUUAAUUUAUUACAAUGAACUCACUAACCCAAAUGUAUAUUCACAAAGAUGUAGGGAGAUAGGUACUCCAAUCAAUCACCAUACAUUCAUU
rnacentral:lncRNA from 1 species